AUGAACGCUGGCGGCUUGCCUAAUACAUGCAAGUCGAGCGAACGGACGAGAAGCUUGCUUCUCUGAUGUUCGCGGCGGACGGGUGAGUAACACGUGGAUAACCUACCUAUAAGACUGGGAUAACUUCGGGAAACCGGAGCUAAUACCGGAUAAUAUUUUGAACCGCCUGGUUCAAAAGUGAAAGACGGUCUUGCUGUCACUUAUAGAUGGAUCCGCGCUGCAUUAGCUAGUUGGUAAGGUAACGGCUUACCAAGGCAACGAUGCAUAGCCGACCUGAGAGGGUGAUCGGCCACACUGGAACUGAGACACGGUCCAGACUCCUACGGGAGGCAGCAGUAGGGAAUCUUCCGCAAUGGGCGAAAGCCUGACGGAGCAACGCCGCGUGAGUGAUGAAGGUCUUCGGAUCGUAAAACUCUGUUAUUAGGGAAGAACAUAUGUGUAAGUAACUGUGCACAUCUUGACGGUACCUAAUCAGAAAGCCACGGCUAACUACGUG
rnacentral:rRNA from 1 species